UCCGCCAGGGUACUACAAGCGCUAGCUUAAAACCCAAAGGACUUGACGGUGUCUCAGACCCACCUAGAGGAGCCUGUUCUAGAACCGAUAAUCCCCGUUAAACCUCACCACCCCUUGUUUUCCCCGCCUAUAUACCGCCGUCGCAAGCUUACCCUGUGAAGGUCCCAUAGUAAGCAAAAUGGGUAAAUCCCAAAACGUCAGGUCGAGGUGUAGCUUACGAGGUGGGAAGAAAUGGGCUACAUUUUCUGUAUCAGAAUAAUACGAACGGCAUCAUGAAAUUGAUUCCCAAAGGUGGAUUUAGUAGUAAAAA
rnacentral:rRNA from 1 species